GGGAACCGGCUGCAAAAUGAUACUCGGAUCUUCAAAGAAAACACAACAGUUCUGGAAGGGGGAAUCACAUCUGUUUUAGGAUUAGGGAGGAGGGAGAGUAAUUGAUUUUUCCCUGGUGAUGUAUUAGGCAGACUUUUACCCUGCACUGAAGUCCGUGGCUGCUUGUGCUUUCCAUACAACUCAAAACUCUACCGCAUGUUGCAGCGCAGAUUUAUAAAGGAACCCAAAACACUGGAUUUGAUUCUACAGGUUGGUUUUUAUUGCCGUCUAGAGUCAACCUUACCAACAACUGUCAGAAGACAGAGCAGGCUCAGUUUUCUGCAAUAUGAUACUAAUGUUCAUACAGCUUGGGGAUUUGGGCGAUUUUUU
rnacentral:lncRNA from 1 species